UGAGGAAUAUUGGACAAUGGGGGAAACCCUGAUCCAGCCAUGCCGCGUGAGUGAUGAAGGCCCUAGGGUUGUAAAACUCUUUCACCGGCGAAGAUAAUGACGGUAACCGGAGAAGAAGCCCCGGCUAAUUUCGUGCCAGCAGCCGCGGUAAUACGAAAGGGGCUAGCGUUGUUCGGAAUUACUGGGCGUAAAGCGCGCGUAGGCGGACCAUCAAGUUGGGGGUGAAAUCCCGGGGCUCAACCCCGGAACUGCCUCCAAAACUGGUGGUCUAGAGGAUGUGAGAGGAUAGUGGAAUUCCAAGUGUAGAGGUGAAAUUCGUAGAUAUUUGGAAGAACACCAGUGGCGAAGGCGACUGUCUGGCACAUUUCUGACGCUGAGGUGCGAAAGCGUGGGGAGCGAACAGGAUUAGAUACCCCCGUAGUCC
rnacentral:rRNA from 1 species